GGUGGCUCAGUGGUAGAGUGCUUGCCUUGCAUGCAUGAGGCCCUGGGUUUGAUUCUCCCCAGCACCA
rnacentral:tRNA from 1 species